UACAGAGGGGGCAAGCGUUAUUCGGAAUUAUUGGGCGUAAAGGGCGCGUAGGCGGCCUGCUAAGUCGAACGUGAAAUCCCUGGGCUCAACCCAGGAACUGCGUCUGAUACUGGAUGGCUUGAGUUUGGGAGAGGGAUGCGGAAUUCCAGGUGUAGCGGUGAAAUGCGUAGAUAUCUGGAGGAACACCGGUGGCGAAGGCGGCAUCCUGGACCGACACUGACACUGAGGAGCGAAAGCCAGGGGAGCAAACGGG
rnacentral:rRNA from 1 species